GACGAACGCUGGCGGCGUGCCUAAUACAUGCAAGUCGAACGCUUCUUUUCCCACCGGAGCUUGCUCCACCGGGAAAAGAGGAGUGGCGAACGGGUGAGUAACACGUGGGUAACCUGCCCAUCAGAAGGGGAUAACACUUGGAAACAGGUGCUAAUACCGUAUAACAAUCGAAACCGCAUGGUUUCGUUUUGAAAGGCGCUUUACGGUGCCGCUGAUGGAUGGACCCGCGGUGCAUUAGCUAGUUGGUGAGGUAACGGCUCACCAAGGCCACGAUGCAUAGCCGACCUGAGAGGGUGAUCGGCCACAUUGGGACUGAGACACGGCCCAAACUCCUACGGGAGGCAGCAGUAGGGAAUCUUCGGCAAUGGACGAAAGUCUGACCGAGCAACGCCGCGUGAGUGAAGAAGGUUUUCGGAUCGUAAAACUCUGUUGUUAGAGAAGAACAAGGGUGAGAGUAACUGUUCACCCCUUGACGGUAUCUAACCAGAAAGCCACGGCUAACUACGUGCCAGCAGCCGCGGUAAUACGUAGGUGGCAAGCGUUGUCCGGAUUUAUUGGGCGUAAAGCGAGCGCAGGCGGUUUCUUAAGUCUGAUGUGAAAGCCCCCGGCUCAACCGGGGAGGGUCAUUGGAAACUGGGAGACUUGAGUGCAGAAGAGGAGAGUGGAAUUCCAUGUGUAGCGGUGAAAUGCGUAGAUAUAUGGAGGAACACCAGUGGCGAAGGCGGCUCUCUGGUCUGUAACUGACGCUGAGGCUCGAAAGCGUGGGGAGCAAACAGGAUUAGAUACCCUGGUAGUCCACGCCGUAAACGAUGAGUGCUAAGUGUUGGAGGGUUUCCGCCCUUCAGUGCUGCAGCUAACGCAUUAAGCACUCCGCCUGGGGAGUACGACCGCAAGGUUGAAACUCAAAGGAAUUGACGGGGGCCCGCACAAGCGGUGGAGCAUGUGGUUUAAUUCGAAGCAACGCGAAGAACCUUACCAGGUCUUGACAUCCUUUGACCACUCUAGAGAUAGAGCUUCCCCUUCGGGGGCAAGUGACAGGUGGUGCAUGGUUGUCGUCAGCUCGUGUCGUGAGAUGUUGGGUUAAGUCCCGCAACGAGCGCAACCCUUAUUGUUAGUUGCCAUCAUUUAGUUGGGCACUCUAGCAAGACUGCCGGUGACAAACCGGAGGAAGGUGGGGAUGACGUCAAAUCAUCAUGCCCCUUAUGACCUGGGCUACACACGUGCUACAAUGGGAAGUACAACGAGUCGCGAAGUCGCGAGGCUAAGCUAAUCUCUUAAAACUUCUCUCAGUUCGGAUUGUAGGCUGCAACUCGCCUACAUGAAGCCGGAAUCGCUAGUAAUCGCGGAUCAGCACGCCGCGGUGAAUACGUUCCCGGGCCUUGUACACACCGCCCGUCACACCACGAGAGUUUGUAACACCCGAAGUCGGUGAGGUAACCUUUUUGGAGCCAGCCGCCUAAGGUGGGAUAGAUGAUUGGGGUG
rnacentral:rRNA from 1 species